CGUGGCAUACGGCUCAGUAACACGUAGUCAACAUGCCCAGAGGACGUGGAUAAUCUCGGGAAACUGAGGAUAAACCGCGAUAGGUCAUAAUAUCUGGAAUGAUUUAUGGUUUAAAUCUAUAUGGCCUCUGGAUUGGACUGCGGCCGAUCAGGCUGUUGGUGAGGUAAUGGCCCACCAAACCUAAAACCGGUACGGGCUCUGAGAGGAGAAGCCCGGAGAUGGGCACUGAGACAAGGGCCCAGGCCCUAUGGGGCGCAGCAGGCGCGAAAACUCUGCAAUAAGCGAAAGCUUGACAGGGUUAUUCUGAGUGGUUUCCGCUAAGGAAAUCUUUUGGUACCUCUAAAAAUGGUGCAGAAUAAGGGGUGGGCAAGCCUGGUGUCAGCCGCCGCGGUAAUACCAGCACCCCGAGUGGUCGGGACGAUUAUUGGGCCUAAAGCAUCCGUAGCCGGUUCUACAAGUCUUCCGUUAAAUCCACCUGCUUAACAGAUGGGCUGCGGAGGAUACUAUGGAGCUAGGAGGCGGGAGAGGCAAGCGGUACUCAGUGGGUAGGGGUAAAAUCCGUUGAUCCAUUGAAGACCACCAGUGGCGAAGGCGGCUUGCCAGAACGCACUCGACGGUGAGGGAUGAAAGCUGGGGGAGCAAACCGGAUUAGAUACCCGGGUAGUCCCAGCUGUAAACGAUGCAGACUCGGUGAUGAAUAGGCUUCGUGCC
rnacentral:rRNA from 1 species